rnacentral:rRNA from 1 species
AUUGAACGCUGGCGGCAGGCCUAACACAUGCAAGUCGAGCGGAUGAAGGGAGCUUGCUCCUGGAUUCAGCGGCGGACGGGUGAGUAAUGCCUAGGAAUCUGCCUGGUAGUGGGGGAUAACGUCCGGAAACGGGCGCUAAUACCGCAUACGUCCUGAGGGAGAAAGUGGGGGAUCUUCCGACCUCACGCUAUCAGAUGAGCCUAGGUCGGAUUAGCUAGUUGGUGGGGUAAAGGCCUACCAAGGCGACGAUCCGUAACUGGUCUGAGAGGAUGAUCAGUCACACUGGAACUGAGACACGGUCCAGACUCCUACGGGAGGCAGCAGUGGGGAAUAUUGGACAAUGGGCGAAAGCCUGAUCCAGCCAUGCCGCGUGCGUGAAGAAGGUCUUCGGAUUGUAAAGCACUUUAAGUUGGGAGGAAGGGCAGUAAGUUAAUACCUUGCUGUUUUGACGUUACCAACAGAAUAAGCACCGGCUAACUUCGUG